GAUGAACGCUAGCUACAGGCUUAACACAUGCAAGUCGAGGGGCAGCAUGAAAGUUUGCUUGCAAACUUUUGAUGGCGACCGGCGCACGGGUGAGUAACGCGUAUGCAACUUGCCUAUCAGAGGGGGAUAACCCGGCGAAAGUCGGACUAAUACCGCAUGAAGCAGGGGCCCCGCAUGGGGAUAUUUGCUAAAGAUUCAUCGCUGAUAGAUAGGCAUGCGUUCCAUUAGGCAGUUGGCGGGGUAACGGCCCACCAAACCGACGAUGGAUAGGGGUUCUGAGAGGAAGGUCCCCCACAUUGGUACUGAGACACGGACCAA
rnacentral:rRNA from 1 species